GACGAACCUGACAAACGUUAUUCGGAAUUACUGGGCUUAAAGGGUGCGCAGGCGGCUUUGCAAGACAGAUGUGAAAUCCCCCGGGCUUAACCUGGGAACUGCAUUUGUGACUGCAUGGCUGGAGUGCGGCAGAGGGGGAUGGAAUUCCGCGUGUAGCGGUGAAAUGCGUAGAUAUCUGGAGGAACACCGGUGGCGAAGGCGGCAUCCUGGACCAACACUGACGCUGAGGAGCGAAAGCCAGGGGAGCAAACGGG
rnacentral:rRNA from 1 species